UACGUAGGGUGCGAGCGUUGUUCGGAAUUACUGGGCGUAAAGCGCACGUAGGCGGAUCUUUAAGUCAGGGGGUGAAAUCCUGGAGCUCAACUCCAGAACUGCCUUUGAUACUGGGGAUCUCGAGUCCGGAAGAGGUAAGUGGAACUCCGAGUGUAGAGGUGAAAUUCGUAGAUAUUCGGAAGAACACCGAGUGGCGAAGGCGGCUUACUGGUCCGG
rnacentral:rRNA from 1 species